rnacentral:lncRNA from 1 species
UACUUGGCAAGGUCCAUUUUCUUGACUUAACCGUAAUCAAGGUCCAACAAAGCCCCUGGUACCCACGCCUGUGAAGCCCCAUCUUAACAACCCUCAAUUUUGUUACCUUUAUUAAGAGUAGACAUGAGGCCUUGAUAGAGAAAAAGACUUAUCUUUGGGUCACAGUGCUAACCAACCCCAGCACUAAACUAGAAUUGCUGACAUAGAUGGUUACAGAGACUCUGUAUGGCUCAGUGGCAAGGAGAAAUAAAGCAGAAGUCAAGGGCUGUAUUCCAGUCUUGCCAACGUCAGCCACCAGCAGUGAGUUUUGUACAAAGCAUUUCCUCCCUGGGCCUAAAUUCCGUCAGCUAUAAAAUAAGGGAAUUAAGUUAAUAGGGCUUUUGGUCCCUUGAAAUGGAGUGAUUUGAGGGCUGAACAAAAGCUUCAAUAGGGCAUGGUUCUUUGUCUUGUUCAAAGCAUCACCCUCAGUUUCCAGAACAAUGCCUGGGGCACAGAGAAGGAGCUCAGUAAAUAUUUUAGUAAGUAAAUGAAUGAACAAUCAUUUGGGAGUACUCCAAAGAUUCAUCCAACAGCAUCUACUCCCAUAGACAUCCCCCAAAUUUCAUUACUAUCCUCAGAUGGCCUGCAUCACCACACUAUUUCAGCAGCCCCCUCUCCAGAGCCAGACUCUGUCUCUUUAUCCUGUUGCUUUCUUCAUAGUGCUUAUCACUAUGAUAUCACUUCAUGAAUUUAGUUGCUACUAUGCUUCUGCCAUGCUUAUUGUUCAUCUUACACUAGUUUGUUCAAGACACUACUGCAUUUGCAGCCUCUGCGGCAGCGCUUAAGACAUAACAGGCAAUCAGUAAGUAUUGGUUGAAUACAAAAUUAAAUGACAUUAAAUAACCUAAAAUCUAAGGCCUCUUACAACUUUUCUGUUCUUUAUUCUACCUCAGCAAGAAUAUAUCUUUUAAAGAAAAAAUAGUGCUACAUAUUUCUCCAGGAAUAUAAAUGAUCUGAAGUUAAUCACACAACAUAGAAAUUAGGAGAAUGCUCUUUUUACUUACAGUAUUUGUCUACCAUGGGUAACUAACUCAUCCAGGAGAAUGUCUAAAACCCAUGCUUAAGUGAUGAUGUUUUCAGCUAUGUGUAUACAGAGUAAUGACUGCCUGCCUGCACAUUUCAGAUCAGAAUUAAACCAGUUUGAGUCAUCCAUUAGAAUCAAGAUCUGCAAGCAGAGACUAGAAAUGUUCCCAAUACCAUUCCACUCACAUGUUGGUUCCCUUCAGAGCUGCCUGAAACUCAACCCUGCCAAGAUGUUUAUUAUCUACCUGGCUUUAUGAAUUACAAUUACUUCCUAAAUUACAGUAAGCUAUAAGUGGUCUGAGCCAAACAACUAGGGUCAUGGAAGGGCUCUCUUUGUACUCCUGGGGAUGAUAGAAAAGCUUCUUUGAACCAAACUUGAUCCUCUUUCAAAAGAAAGGGAUAACUUUAAGCCUAUAACUCCUGGGAGUGGCAAAGAGAACAGCCAGAGGGCCAUGAGCUAACUUCAAUUCUCUAGAGAUCAGUUGAACAGAUUUGGCAAUCAUUUGGCUUCUGUUGAGAACAAGGCCUUCUAAUUGUAUUUCUGCCAAUGGAAGACAAAAGACAGCACAUGACUUAGGAAGGCCAUAAAGACAUGCCAACAUCAUGGCUGUGACUGUGCGGUUCCCUUCCGAAGAGGGCACUGCUGAUGUGUAUGUCAAAUGUCGGCUCUAGGACCCAUUCAUGAGAAUUAAACCUCAUGAGGAGCUCAAAAGGAAGCUGGUGAAGUAAUUUGCUUCCCUUAAACAGUAUCUUGGCUGUAAUAUUUUCUGACACUAGAAAUAAAAUAAUUCCAUGUUUUGAUUCCUCCCCCACCCUGCCAAAAGUGAUUUAGAUUAACUAGGUAUGAAACGCACAGCCAGGGAGUAUAGGGUUUUCCAUUCUAUAACUGCUUAAAGACAAAGAGGCAGGAAAUACAGAUGUUUUCUCCUUGCUGUUGCAAAAGGGUGGUGGACUAACUCUUUCAGUGUCUCUGGAAUGCAAAUUUUCUUUCACAGUUUAGCAGUCUUUUUUGGAUUUCAGCACAGUGAACUAACACUUUCCUGGAUUCCAAGACCUCCAGAGAACCAGAUGGAUGACAGAAAUUGGGAAAAAGAACCCACACUGCUUGAAAAAGAAUGGCAUGCCAUAAGGAAAAGACAGCAGUGAGAAAAAUAGUACAAAGGACUUCCUUGCUCCAGCAUCUUGACACGCUGCCCUGCUAUUGACUGGCCCAUCAAAAUCAGCAAGAGUGCGACAUGAAUAUCAGUGGGAUCUGCAUCAGCAAGAGUGCGACAUCAGUAUCAGUGGGAUCUGCAUCAGAGAGGGACCCAUUCCAUGCAGUAUGCUGGUGGAAACAGUUCUCAAGCAAUUGCCUCUCAUUGGAGCUGCAGCCAGUUCAGCUCUACCCGGAGACUCAUAAGACAAGACUCGAGGCUCUUAUGGUUUUCACAAGUCUCAAAUUCAGAGCUUAUUCUGCCUGUAUCACCCCACAAUGGGUACAUACAUAACAAUUAGAUAAGAUCAUAAAUCUCAAAUGACUAUUGUAAUCAUAUCUAGGGAAUUUCAUAAAAUUGAGAAUAACAGUUUGUGAUAUAUAAUCAUAAACAUUUCUAACAUAUAUUUUUCAAAAACUCAAGGCAAGGAUGAGGAUGGGAGCAGUACCUAAGGAGAUGCUUACCGUCAGGGUCCCACAAGUGCCUGAGAGGGGAAGUCUCCUUAAUUUGGUUCCCCAGGAGCCUGACUUCCUUCUUCCUAGUUCCAGCUCUGCUUCAUGUGUUACAUUCACUUUAUUAAUUUUUUUCCUAACAAAAUUCUCCAUAAUGGUUAUCACUCAUUUCAAAUUUGCAUUCUAUUAAAUAACAUUACCCAGUUAUUUCACAUUGGCUGCUAAAGACUGUUUCUACUUUUCCAUUGUAAAAUAUCAUUUACAGUUAUAAGCCCACUCUAGGCAUUUCAAAUAUCCCAAUUUCUUGAUUUGUUUUUCUGGUUUCAAGAACAGAUAUUUGCCUGACAACCUGUUAAGAGUUCAAGAUAAACUGUGAGAGUUAGACAAUAAAAGUUAUUUUUACAACUGCUUGG